rnacentral:rRNA from 1 species
UACGGAGGGGGCUAGCGUUGUUCGGAAUUACUGGGCGUAAAGCGCACGUAGGCGGCUUUGCAAGUUAGAGGUGAAAGCCCGGGGCUCAACUCCGGAAUUGCCUUUAAAACUGCAUCGCUAGAAUUGUGGAGAGGUAAGUGGAAUUCCGAGUGUAGAGGUGAAAUUCGAUAGAUAUUCGGAAGAACACCAGUGGCGAAGGCGACUUACUGGACACAUAUUGACGCUGAGGCACGAAAGCGUGGAGAUCAAACAGG